rnacentral:rRNA from 1 species
UACGGAGGGUGCAAGCGUUAUCCGGAUUUACUGGGUUUAAAGGGUGCGCAGGCGGCUAUGUAAGUCAGUGGUGAAAUCUCUGGGCUUAACCCGGAAAUUGCCAUUGAUACUAUAUAUCUUGAAUGUUGUGGAGGUAAGCGGAAUAUGUCAUGUAGCGGUGAAAUGCUUAGAUAUGACAUAGAACACCUAUUGCGAAGGCAGCUUACUACGCAGAUAUUGACGCUCAUGCACGAAAGCGUGGGGAUCAAACAGG